CUGGUUGAUCCUGCCAGUAGUCAUAUGCUUGUCUCAAAGAUUAAGCCAUGCAUGUCUAAGUAUAAGCAAUCUAUACAGUGAAACUGCGAAUGGCUCAUUAAAUCAGUUAUCGUUUAUUUGAUAGUACCUUACUACUUGGAUAACCGUGGUAAUUCUAGAGCUAAUACAUGCUAAAAACCUCGACUUCGGAAGGGGUGUAUUUAUUAGAUAAAAAACCAAUGCCCUUCGGGGCUCCUUGGUGAUUCAUGAUAACUUAACGAAUCGCAUGGCCUUGUGCCGGCGAUGGUUCAUUCAAAUUUCUGCCCUAUCAACUUUCGAUGGUAGGAUAGUGGCCUACCAUGGUUUCAACGGGUAACGGGGAAUUAGGGUUCUAUUCCGGAGAGGGAGCCUGAGAAACGGCUACCACAUCCAAGGAAGGCAGCAGGCGCGCAAAUUACCCAAUCCCGACACGGGGAGGUAGUGACAAUAAAUACUGAUACAGGGCCCUUUUGGGUCUUGUAAUUGGAAUGAGUACAAUUUAAAUCCCUUAACGAGGAACAAUUGGAGGGCAAGUCUGG
rnacentral:rRNA from 1 species